GCUGGUGUAGCUCAAUGCGGCAGAGCAACUGACUUGUAAUCAGUAGGUUGUAGGUUCAACUCCUGUCACCAGCUUCA
rnacentral:tRNA from 1 species